UUAUAAAUCCCAUCAUGAGGAAUACAUCCUCAUGACUUCAUCUCAGCCUAAUUACCCCCCAAAGGCCCCACAUCCAAAUAUCAUCAUAUUGAGGACUAGAGCUUCACUAUAUGAAUUUUUGGGGGGAGGCAGAACAUUCAAUCUAUACCAGGUGGUUUUAGGUUGAAUUUUAAGGCAGGAAAAGAGUAAUAAAAAAGAAGUCUGUUUUAUUGUAAAGAGUUAUUUAUUCUGCCAUUUACAAAUGGCAAUGGCUUUUGCUUUUUGUUAUUAUUGUUACUCUUGUUGAAAUUAAAAUUUGCCAAUGAAUUAGAAUUUCUAAAUUUAAUUCCUGACAUUUUACUGCCUGCAUUUCUGAGGGGCAUCAGCUAGAUUUGGGAGUCAACAUCAAUUUUCAGAGAAAAGCCACAAUAUCAGUCAGGGUUCCAGCAGGAAAACAGAAAUCACUCUAGGUAUCUCAAACACUCUAGGUAACCAAAUUCAAUAUGGGCAGUAAAGUACCUACAAAAAUCACUGAGAAGACUGAAGGAGCAAAAGUCAAGAGGACAGUAACAGCCAUGAUCCAUCCAAGGAGGCAGAGAGAUUCUGAUGCCACUCACAGUCCACCACAGGAACGUCUUGGUGUUUGAUGUCGCUGCACCCUGGGGUCAUUACCUCCUGAAAUACCAACACGUAUGUUGUCCUCAUCUUUGACCACAAGGGACUCAGAUCCAGAACCCCAUCCAGAGGGUCUGUUUUCUAGGGACACUUUUGCUGACAGCUAUUUUGGCCUCAGUUCCUCCUGAAAGCAGUGCCUGAGACAAGGUCUUGCUUUCCAGAUGUUGAUAUUGGGAAGCAUGAAAAGUAGGAAGAGGAGAAAGCCAAUCCAAGGUGCAUUAUGGUCUCCAGUAUGGGACACCAGAGCUUGAUGCUUCCAGGGAUGCUUUGAGGGGCUGUGUAAAAUGUGAGGGUCAGACAGGAGAGAAUAUAUCUACUGCUUCUCGUCCCCCAUUGGUCAACGGUUGCUCCCUGGUGUUAACUUCCUCCCACUUUUAGCUGUCUGUAUGAUUGGAAUGGUUGGUCUGCAGGUAUCUCACAUGGUUUGACAGAGAAGCCUGGGCGGUGUAUUUGCAGCAGCUGACAUAAUAUGUGGUCAGGUUACAUAUGAGUACAGUUGAUUGCAUCAGUAAUGAUGAAUCAAAAGAUGGGCCGAGAGGAUGUAAACUGGGGCAUUAGAGGUGUAAAAUCCAGAUACGAUCUUGUUCUGUGCCUCCAACAAAUCAUCACACAAUAGUCACACAAUAGGACAUUUCUUAAAGUCUGGAUUAGUCAGUCUCAAAUUUUACCACAUAUGGGGCAUUACUGACCUUGUUUGGUGGGGUGCUCCAGUCCUCUUCAGUCCCUCUCAUCAAGCAUUCACAGAUGUUGGGGUACAGACUUGAGGUCAUACUGAGCACAAAUAUCCAGCACUUUUUCUUUCUUUUUUUUUAAAUAAGACUUUUUUUAUAAUGUUUUUAUUUAUUUUUGAGAGAGAGAGAGAGACAGACAGACAGACAAGCUGUGGACAGGGGAGGGACAGAGAGAGAGAGGGAGAUGCAGACUCCAAAGGAGGCUCCAGGCUCUGAGCUGCCAGUCCCGACGUGGGGCUCG
ensembl:lncRNA